CCAAACAUUGAAAACUCAAUUUUUCUCUCUUCAAGCCACUCAAACCCCAUUGUUAUUCAUGAAAACCUUUUCUCUACUUCCUACUCAUCCCACUAAACAAAUUCUUAGAAUCAACCAUAAAUUCGAACCCCUAUCAUAUCAUAAAUUUUCAAAGUUAAGACCCACAUUUUCAAUUUCGCAUUAAUACCAUCACCAUUGAAGGAGAUGACCAAGCUCGAGAGAGCAAGUGGAGUGGGUCUAAUUCGGCUAGUUUUUCGGUGAAGGGGUACUUAAUUUCUUGGUUCAAUUGGUCUUUGGGAAUUUCUGAUGAAGAAGGAGAAGAAGAAGAUUAGGGCAGAGAUCAUUGCUUUGAAGAUCAUUCGACGUUGAGAACUCGAAUCCGAUGAUAAAAUCGAGAUUGUGGUGGAGGAACAAAUCAUGGGUAUGAGGCGCUAUUAUAGGGGUUCUAAUUAUGUUGAACCUUGGAAGUACUUUUUUUAAUAUUUUUGCAUUUUAUAAAGUCGAGUAGGUAAGAUUUGGCUUAACACUUGAACAACAAUAUAACGACAUGUCAACCACCUUGACCCAAUUGCCAGACGUAUUUUUAUGUAAAUGUCCAUAUAGAACUAAUCCGUAUAAGUUAUUUGUUAUUCGGAUGUCACUCGCUUAUUAAGCUAAGGUUUGCCUGA